rnacentral:tRNA from 1 species
GGAGAGAUGUUAGAGUGGUUUAAUUUGCUCGCUUGGAAAGCGGGUGUACGGUAACGUACCGAGGGUUCGAAUCCCUCUCUCUCCGCCA